AUGGGGGGCCUUGGCAAAACCACAUUAGCGCAGGUCAUAUACAAUGAACCUGAAAUUCAGAAGCAUUUCCAGUUGUUGAUCUGGGUGUGUGUCUCUGAUACCUUUGAUGUGAACUCCCUGGCUAAGAGUAUAGUUGAAGCUUCUCCCAAGAAAAAUGAUGAUAUAGACAAACCACCACUGGAUAGGCUUCGAAAAUUGGUCAGCGGGCAGAGGUAUUUCCUUGUAUUGGAUGAUGUCUGGAACAACAGGGAAUUCCACAAGUGGGAAAGGUUGAAGGUCUGUCUUCAGCAUGGUGGCAUGGGUAGUGCAGUGUUGACAACAACUCGUGAUAAACAAGUUGCUGAAAUUAUGGAUGCAGAUAGAGCCUUCAAUCUCAGUCGUUUGGAGGAUUGCUUCAUAAAGGAAAUUAUCGAGGCUAGAGCAUUCAGUUCACAGCAUGAAAAGCCUCCUGAGCUACUGAACAUGGUUGGUGUGAUUGUGAGGAGAUGUAAUGGUUCUCCUUUAGCUGCAACUGCACUGGGCUCUCUACUUCGUACCAAGACCAGCGUGGAAGAAUGGAAGGCUAUAUCAGCUAGAAGCCACAUAUGCACAGAAGAAUCUGGAAUUUUGCCAAUACUAAUGAUUAGCUACAAAGAAUUGCCAUCAUACAUGAAGCAGUGCUUUGCUUUUUGUGCUGUAUUUCCCAGGGGUUACAGGAUUGAUGUGGAGAAGCUGAUCCAACUAUGGAUUGCAAAUGGCUUUAUCCCAGAAUACAAGGAAUAUACUCUUGAAACCGCUGGAAAACAUAUUUUUAAUGAGCUUGCCUCAAGGUCAUUCUUUCUGGACAUAGAGGAAGAUAAAACAGACUGCGAGUAUUAUUCCAGAACUACAUGUAAAAUCCAUGAUCUUCUGCUUGACAUCGCAUUAUCUGUUAUGGAAAAGCAAUCUGAUAUUGCAACUGAGGAACCAAGUCAAAUCAAGUGUCUUACAGACUUUCCAGUCUUUCCUGAUACUGCUCGGCAUUUAUUUUUGGCGCGUGAAGAAACAGAUGGUAUAUGUUUGUCACAUGAAGAAACAGAAGGUAUUUCAAAUGAAUUUGUGGAGAAAAAAUUCCCUGCUAUCCGAACAAUCAUAUGCGAUAGUUUUAUGGGACACUCAUUGCAGCAUCUAUCAAAACACAACUCUUUGCAUGCCUUGAAGCUCCAUACAGGGAGAGAAUCAUUUCUACCGCAGCGAAAGUAUCUGCGUUACCUGAGGUACCUUGAUCUCUCAGGAAGUUUUAUCAAAGCACUGCCUGAAGACAUAAGUAUUCUUUAUAACUUGCAAAUGUUGGACCUUUCCAAUUGUUGUUUUCUUGAUCGACUUCCACGGCAAAUGAAAUAUAUGACUUCACUCCGUCACCUCUACACUCAUGGCUGUCCGGAGUUGAAGAGCAUGCCUCCAGAACUCGGAAAACUCACGAAGCUACAGACGCUUACAUGUUUUGUAGCAGCAGUUACUGGACCUGAUUGUAGUGAUGUUGCAGAGCUGCAGCAUUUAAACCUCGGUGGUCGGCUAGAGCUAUGUCAGUUAGAGAAUGUUAAGGAACCAGAGGCAAAAGUGGCAAACCUCAGAAACAAGAAGGAUCUCAGAGAAUUGACAUUAAGAUGGACUUCUGUUUGUGAUAGCAACGUGGAUCUCAGAGAAUGUUUCGAAUAUCACGAUGAGCUGCAGGUUCUGCGGAUAUAUUCCUAUGGAGGAAGGUGCAUUGGGAUGUUGCGAAACAUGGUUGAGAUCCAUCUUUUUCAUUGUGAAAGAUUGCAUUUUUUGUUCAGAUGUGGUACAUCCUUAACUUUUCCUAAACUGAAGGUGCUUACACUAGAGCAUCUAUUGUAUUUUGAGAGAUGGGGGGAAAUAAAUAAGAGGCAAGAAGAACAGAUAAUAUUUCCUCUGCUUGAGCAGUUGUUUAUUCGGCAUUGUGGACAGCUGGUAGCAUUACCUGGAGCACCAUUGCUUGGAGAACCAAUUACUGGAGAUUAUAGAUUGAUAGCGUCAGCAUUUCCUGCUCUAAAGGUACUUGCAUUGGAAAACUUGGAGAGUUUUCAGAGAUGGGAUGCUGCUGCUGAAGGAGAACAUAUAUUGUUUCCUCAGCUUGAGACAUUGUCAGUUGAGAAAUGCCCAAAGCUUAUACAUUUACCCGAAGCACCAAAACUCAAUGUGUUAAAAAUUGAAGAUGGCAAGCAAGAGAUCUUCCAUUUUGUAGACAAAUAUUUGUCUUCAUUGACCAAUCUGAUACUGAAUCUAGAAUGCACAGAGACAACAUCAGAGGCUGAGUGCACUUCAGUUUUACCGGUGGGCUGCAAGGAGAAAUGGAACCAGAAAUCCCCUCUAACAGUUAUGCAGUUAAGACACUGCAAGUCAUUCUUUGGAGCAGGUUCACUGGAGCCAUGGGACUAUUUUGUACACCUUGAAGAGUUUGAAAUUGAUAGAUGCGAUAUGCUCGUCCAGUGGCCAGAGAAAGUGUUCCAAAGCUUGGUAUCCUUGAGAACAUUAGUGAUUAGAAAUUGUGAAAAUCUGACUGGAUAUGCACACACUCCUCUUGAGCCAUCAGCAUCCGGAAGGAGUCAACACCUGCCAGGUCUGGAGUCUCUUGUGUUAGAGGAUUGUGCAAGUUUGGUAGAAAUGUUCAACUACCCGGCAUCUCUCAAGAGAAUGAAUAUUACUGGGUGCCGUAAGCUUAAGUCCAUAUUCCACAAGCAGCAGGGCAUGUUGGAGUUAGUUGAAGAGUCUUGCAGUGAGGAAAUCUUGCCUGCAGCUGUAUCAGAGUUGUCAUCCUCACCCAUGAAUCACUUCUGUCCAUGCCUAGAAUAUCUGUCGUUAGAUGGAUGUGAAAGUUUACCAGCGGUUCUAAAUCUUCCACCAUCCUUAAAGAGCAUAAUUAUUGAUGACUGCAGUAGUAUUCAAGUCCUAUCAUGCCAGCUGGAUGUGCUCCAGAAACCAAAAGAUUUAGCAGAGCCGUCAACAGCAGCAGCAGCAGCAAGAGAGCAUUCACUUCCUCCUUGUCUCGAAUAUCUACACAUAUUGUCUUGUGAUGGCAUGUUGGGGUGGAUUCUCUGUCUGCCCACGUCCCUCAAGAAACUGAACAUUCAGGACAACAGUGGGUUGACAUCACUGGAGAUUCUGUCAGGAGAGCACCCCUCAUCGUUGGAAACCCUUUUUCUUGUUAGCUGCAGUACCUUGGCAUCCUUGCCGAAUGAGCAGCAAGCAUACGGGUCUCUCCAACACCUUGCAAUUACACACUGUCCUGCAAUAAAGAAGCUCCCUAGAUGCCUGCAGCAGCAACUGGGCAGCAUCAACGAGAAAGAACUAGACGCCCGUUAUGAAGUCAUGGCACUUAAACCAAAGACAUGGAAGGAAAUACCAAGGCUAGUCUGUGAGCAGUGGGAGGCCUUGCGUGAUUGA
rnacentral:rRNA from 1 species